rnacentral:rRNA from 1 species
GACGAACGCUGGCGGCGUGCUUAACACAUGCAAGUCGAACGGAAAGGCCCUGCUUUUGUGGGGGGCUCGAGUGGCGAACGGGUGAGUAACACGUGAGUAACCUGCCCUUGACUUUGGGGUAACUUCAGGAAACUGGGGCUAAUACCGGAUAGGAGCUCCUGCUGCAUGGUGGGGGUUGGAAAGUUUCGGCGGUUGGGGAUGGACUCGCGGCUUAUCAGCUUGUUGGUGGGGUAGUGGCUUACCAAGGCUUUGACGGGUAGCCGGCCUGAGAGGGUGACCGGCCACAUUGGGACUGAGAUACGGCCCAGACUCCUACGGGAGGCAGCAGUGGGGAAUAUUGCACAAUGGGCGGAAGCCUGAUGCAGCAACGCCGCGUGCGGGAUGACGGCCUUCGGGUUGUAAACCGCUUUCGCCUGUGACGAAGCGUGAGUGACGGUAAUGGGUAAAGAAGCACCGGCUAACUACGUG